UGGGAAGAACUUGUGGGAAGCCCUUUUCCCGUUUUCAAGCUCCACGCUGCAUCACGGGAAAUGACACUGACCAGAUUAAGCUACAAAUACAAGUCUCGCAGCCAGUCUCAAAGUCUGUAUCCCCAAUAACAUUUUUUAGGUAAAUAAAAAUUGUUACCGGGUGGUCUUCCCUUCUCCAGGAAGCAGAGCUGAGGCUGGUAAAGUUCCUGCCUGAGAUUUUGGCCUUGCAAAGGGGUCUAGUGAAGCAGUUCCAGAACGUCCCGCAAGUUGAAUACAACUCCAUCAGAGGCUUCCUCAGCAAGCACAGCUCAGGUGGGUUGAGGCGGCUACUUCAGAACAGAAUCACAGUCUUUCUGUCGACAUGGAACAAACUGAGGAGAUCACUUGAGAUGAACGGCGAGAUCAACCUACCCAAAGCCUACUGCAGCACUGACUUGGAUCUGGAUGCUGAUUUUGAGAUCCUCUUGCCACGCCGACGGGGCCUGGGCCUCUGUGCUACCGCUCUCGUCAGCUACUUGAUUCGCCUACACAAUGAAAUUGUCUACGCCGUGGAAAAA
rnacentral:sRNA from 1 species